rnacentral:rRNA from 1 species
UACGGAGGGUGCGAGCGUUGUUCGGAAUCACUGGGCGUAAAGCGCGUGUAGGCGGCCCACUAAGUCUGAUGUGAAAGCCCGGGGCUCACCCCCGGAAGUGCAUUGGAAACUGGUGGACUCGAGUCCCGGAGAGGAGAGUGGAAUUCCUGGUGUAGCGGUGAAAUGCGUAGAUAUCAGGAGGAACACCGGUGGCGAAGGCGGCUCUCUGGACGGUGACUGACGCUGAGACGCGAAAGCGUGGGUAGCAAACGGG